UUGAAAGAAAUUAUGUUUGACGGAGUUGAAGUGCAACAGGAAGAACAAUUGUCUUAAUGAUGGUGCUCCCUGGUUUCCAAGGAGAUGAUCUUGGAUAAGCUUGUCAGCUUACAAGUCUGUCUUCUGAUCUGACAUCUAAAGCUUUCUAGAGGAGAUUUUAUUUCCUUUGCUGGCUGCAAUCAUGUCAAUUGUCUUUGGAGAUUGAAAAACAGAACAGGAAACAAGCUAAGCAGAGCUGUGCUUAGACAUUUUAUGUACAACUUGAAGAGAUUUAGAAUGACGUAGCAAAUUCUAAUGGGACGACAGUGUCUGGCAAGGUAUAUGUAGAUUUUAAGCAUUCAUAAUGCAUUUUGUUAUUCGAAGACUUCUUAAUCUGAAAUUGCAUGAUAAGUGUUGCAGUUUAGACGCUGUAAUUGAAAAUUGUUUGAUGCCACACCUAGAUUUGAUAUUGAUGAAGGG
rnacentral:misc_RNA from 1 species